UUUUGUGCGCGCGACGGCUAAGAGGUUUUUCUCGCUUUUUACUGCUCACUCGUCUUGCUCGUGCUGAAGGCGGUGUGCUCUUUUGUAACGCGCUCGUGAUCGAAUUCUCUUCGAAUCUGCUUGAGAAAUCAUGGAAAAUUAUGGCCGAUCGUCUUAACGACGAUUGUCGAUUUCGAUUUGGUCGAGUCUCACUAAAAUGGGGCUUCAAAUGAUUUUCUUAUCAAUCGAUCAGAGGUUUUAUUAAAAAAUGAAAAAAUUGAUGUUUUUGGAGGGAAAGACCACGAAAAUUUUCAUUCUACGGUUCAUUUUUCUUAGAUUUUAUCAUCCGCAGCCUGAUAUUUCAUGCUCGCCAUUAUUUAACCAUUCGUGAAUCUUUAUAGAUUACUUUUAUCUGAGGAAUUUCGCGUGAACGCUUCCGAGCGAGAAGUGCGUGAUGCUGCAAUCCCGUUUAUCUGUUCCGCCCGAGCAUACGAGCGAUGCCGUAGCAUCGAGGACUCACCACCGAAAAUCCGAGGACGUUUUUGGCCCCCGUUUGUUCUCUAAUCGUCGGUGCAGCUCUGUACACAAAAACUGGGGUGUCUUAUCAGUGGACUUCCGGUACGUUAGACGCGCGAAUUAUUGCGGCCACCAGUCACAGUUGGCCUCUUCCUCUCGCUAUCAGUGUCGCCCCCCUUGCCAUGCCUUAUAGGACACUAAAUGCUAGCCAUUGUGUCUCCUCGUGUCGAGGACGAGACUCCGAGGGAUAUUCGACUCCAUUGAUUCUCUUCAUUAUCGCGUCCGAGGAUCCAGAGAAGACGUUCAACGAAAGUGAAUUUUCGUCGCUUCAACUUUGCACUGCCGUCAAAAUUUCAACAAACUUGGACACCUCUGCAGUCGCUUCUCUCCUGAUCUUCGAGACAAUAAUCUCAUACGGAGAGAUGAGCCUUGUUAUUUGGUCGCCUGUUUUGAUUCUGGUGAACCGCAAACCUGAACAAAGUCACGAGGACCGAGCAAAAAAAAGGGAGGCGAAAGGGCUCGUGUCGGUGAAGCGAUAAUCGCCCGGCACCGCGGGCGACUUCCUGGAGCACAUUUAACGUCCGGCGACGAAGCCCGUCGCGAUUCGCUGUGUCCGCACCCUCGAUAAUGCCCCGCAUCUACACGUGCCAUCUCGAUAAAUCAUCGGGGAAAAUAGCGCGAUAGAUUUGUCCGCGCGUAAACUGGAAACGUCCCUGGCACGUGUGGACCUCGUAAUAAACGAAAAUUUAUGCAAAAAUAACGAAUCCAUUGCUGCGGCGCAACAAAUUUCUUUGGAAUAAAAAAAUGAUUCAUUCGCUCUGCGGCGGCUUAGUCUGUUUGGAAUCACAAUAAAAACGGGCACGGAGACGCGAGGUUUCCCGGCCACUUCGUCA